UAAAAAUAGUUUAUUUAAAACAUCUACCUUGAAAGUAGAACAAGUAUUAUUUUACUUUUUACUU
rnacentral:tRNA from 1 species